rnacentral:rRNA from 1 species
GUAGGUGGCAAGCGUUGUCCGGAAUUAUUGGGCGUAAAGCGCGCGCAGGCGGUUCUUUAAGUCUGAUGUGAAAGCCCACGGCUCAACCGUGGAGGGUCAUUGGAAACUGGAGAACUUGAGUACAGAAGAGGAAAGCGGAAUUCCACGUGUAGCGGUGAAAUGCGUAGAGAUGUGGAGGAACACCAGUGGCGAAGGCGGCUUUCUGGUCUGUAACUGACGCUGAGGCGCGAAAGCGUGGGGGAGCAAACAGGAUUAGAUACCCUGGUAGUCCACGCCGUAAGCGAUGAGUGCUAAGUGUUAGGGGGUUUCCGCCCACUUAGUGCUGCAGCUAACGCAUUAAGCACUCCGCCUGGGAGUACGGCCGCAAGGCUG